rfam:Chitinophaga ginsengisegetis strain DSM 18108 genome assembly, contig: LX61DRAFT_scaffold00004.4
AACAGGGCUGCCGAAAACUGUGCAUUAAAAAGAGUAGGCG